rnacentral:rRNA from 1 species
GAUGAACGCUGGCGGCGUGCCUAAUACAUGCAAGUCGAACGGACAGACGAUGAUCUUGCGGGGCGGACGAGAGGGGCACGGGUGAGAAAAACGCGUGUAAAACGUACCUGAAAUAGGGAUAUAUCUUCGAAAAACCGGCUAAAAUACCAUAGAAGAUAUUGAACCACGGUGGGGGAUGGUAAGAUACGGUGGUUCGGGCAGGAAUAGAGGGAUACGCGCCGCAUUAGGUGGUUGUGAAGGUAACGGCUUACCAAGGCUACGAGGCGUAGCCGACCUGAGAGGGUGAUAGGCCACCCUGGAACUGAGCCAGCGUCCAGAGUACUAAGGGAGGCCGCAGUAGGGAAUCUUCGGCAAUGGGCGAAAGUCUUACGGAGCAACGCCGAGUCAGUGACGACGGUCCUCGGAUCGUAAAAACCUGUUACUAGGGAAGAACCACUGUGUCCGUAAACAUGCCGGUAUUGACGGUAACUAAUAAGAAAGCACCGGCUAACUACGUG